GACGAACGCUGGCGGCGUGCUUAACACAUGCAAGUCGAACGGUGAAGCGCCUUCCUUUUUGGUGGGUGUGGAUGAGUGGCGAACGGGUGAGUAACACGUGAGUAACCUGCCCCCUUCUUCUGGAUAACCGCAUGAAAGUGUGGCUAAUACGGGAUAUUCUGGGUCUGUCGCAUGAUGGGUCUGGGAAAGAUAUUGUUUCGGUGGGGGAUGGGCUCGCGGCCUAUCAGCUUGUUGGUGGGGUGAUGGCCUACCAAGGCGGUGACGGGUAGCCGGCCUGAGGGGGGGGGCGGUGAAAGGGGGACUGGGACACGGCCCAGACACCUACGGGAGGCAGCAGUGGGGAAUAUUGCACAAGGGGCGAAAGCCUGAUGCAGCGACGCCGGGUGAGGGAUGGAGGCCUUCGGGUUGUGAACCUCUUUGGCCAGUGAAGCAGGCCUGCCUCGUUUGUGGGUGGGUUGACGGUAGCUGAAUAAGAAGCGCCGGCUAACUACG
rnacentral:rRNA from 1 species